UGGGGAAUAUUGCACAAUGGGCGCAAGCCUGAUGCAGCAACGCCGCGUGAGGGACGACGGCCUUCGGGUUGUAAACCUCUUUUAGUAGGGAAGAAGCGAAAGUGACGGUACCUGCAGAAAAAGCACCGGCUAACUACGUGCCAGCAGCCGCGGUAAUACGUAGGGUGCGAGCGUUGUCCGGAAUUAUUGGGCGUAAAGAGCUCGUAGGCGGUCUGUCGCGUCUGCUGUGAAAACCCCGAGGCUCAACCUCGGGCCUGCAGUGGGUACGGGCAGACUAGAGUGCGGUAGGGGAGAAUGGAAUUCCUGGUGUAGCGGUGGAAUGCGCAGAUAUCAGGAGGAACACCGAUGGCGAAGGCAGUUCUCUGGGCCGUAACUGACGCUGAGGAGCGAAACGCGUGGGGAGCGAACAGGAUUAGAUACCCUGGUAGUCCACGCCGUAAACGUUGGGCGCUAGAUGUGGGGACCAUUCCACGGUUUCCGUGUCGCAGCUAACGCAUUAA
rnacentral:rRNA from 1 species